GGGCCAUUUUGUUCUUCU
rnacentral:siRNA from 1 species